GAGCUUGCUCUUGAUUAUUUUAGCGGCGGACGGGUGAGUAACGUGUGGGCAACCUGCCUUUUACUGGGGAAUAAUCACUGGAAACGGUGGCUAAUACCGCAUACGGUUCUUGGAAGGCAUCUUCUAGGAAAGAAAGGAUUUAUUCGGUAAAAGAUGGGCCCGCAUCUGAUUAGCUAGUUGGUGAGAUAAUAGCCCACCAAGGCAACGAUCAGUAGCCGACCUGAGAGGGUGACCGGCCACAUUGGGACUGAGACACGGCCCAAACUCCUACGGGAGGCAGCAGUGGGGAAUAUUGCACAAUGGGGGAAACCCUGAUGCAGCAACGCCGCGUGAAGGAAGACGGUUUUCGGAUUGUAAACUUCUAUCAAUAGGGAAGAAAGAAAUGACGGUACCUAAAUAAGAAGCCCCGGCUAACUACGUGCCAGCAGCCGCGGUAAUACGUAGGGGGCAAGCGUUAUCCGGAAUUACUGGGUGUAAAGGGAGAGUAGGCGGCAAGGUAAGCGAUAUGUGAAAGCCUUAGGCUUAACCUGAGGAUAGCAUAACGAACUAUCUAGCUAGAGUACAGGAGAGGAAAGCGGAAUUCUUAGUGUAGCGGUGAAAUGCGUAGAUAUUAGGAAGAACACCAGUGGCGAAGGCGGCUUUCUGGACUGAAACUGACGCUGAGGCUCGAAAGCGUGGGGAGCGAACAGGAUUAGAUACCCUGGUAGUCCACGCUGUAAACGAUGAGUGCUAGGUGUCGGGGAGGAAUCCUCGGUGCCGGAGCAAACGCAAUAAGCACUCCA
rnacentral:rRNA from 1 species